CUACGCGUAGUUCAUUGCAAGUAUCAUAUGAAUAAGGAUCGGCUAACUCCGUGCCAGCAGCCGCGGUAAUACGGAGGAUCCAAGCGUUAUCCGGGAUUUAUUGGGUUUAAAGGGUGCGCAGGCGGGACCAUAAGUCAGCGGUGAAAUCUCGACGCUUAAACGUCGACACUGCCGUUGAAACUGUGAUUCUUGAGUAUAGAUGAAGUAGGCGGAAUUCGUUGUGUAGCGGUGACAUGCUUAGAUAUAACGAGGAACACCAAUUGCGUAGGCAGCUUACUAAACUAUAACUGACGCUCAUGCACGAAAGCGUGGGGAUCAAACAGGAUUAGAUACCCUGGUAGUCCACGCCGUAAACGAUGAUUACUAGUUGUUUGCAAUACACCGCAAGUGACUAAGCGAAAGCGAUAAGUAAUCCACCUGGGGAGUACGCUGGCAACAGUGAAACUCAAAGGAAUUGACGGGGGCCCGCACAAGCGGAGGAACAUGUGGUUUAAUUCGAUGAUACGCGAGGAACCUUACCCGGGCUUGAAAUGCAUCUGACAGGAGGGGAAACCCUUUUUCUAGCAAUAGCAGAUGUGUAGGUGCUGCAUGGUUGUCGUCAGCUCGUGCCGUGAGGUGUCGGCUUAAGUGCCAUAACGAGCGCAACCCACAUCAUUAGUUACUAACAGGUCAAGCUGAGGACUCUAAUGAGACUGCCAGCGUAAGCUGCGAGGAAGGUGUGGAUGACGUCAAAUCAGCACGGCCCUUACGUCCGGGGCGACACACGUGUUACAAUGGGAGGUACAAAGAGCAGCUACUGGGCGACCAGAUGCCAAUCCCCAAAGCCUCUCCCAGUUCGGAUUGGAGUCUGCAACCCGACUCCAUGAAGCUGGAUUCGCUAGUAAUCGCAUAUCAGCCAUGAUGCGGUGAAUACGUUCCCGGGCCUUGUACACACCGCCCGUCAAGCCAUGGAAGCCGGGGGUAUCUGAAGUGCGUAACCGCAAGGAGCGUCCUAGGGUAAAACUGGUAACUGGGGCUAAGUCGUAACAAGGUA
rnacentral:rRNA from 1 species